UACUUCCGUAAAGUUCACUUUAAUUUAAGUUAAUUUUAAGCUGUAUUUCAGUAUACUUAGCAAAAGUAUACUAAGUUUCAAAUACUUAAAGUGGUAUUUUAGUGUACUUCUGAAAAGUACACUUUGUUUCAAGUCCUUUGUAAUACACUAUUAAAAUGCUUUUUUAGAGUGUAAUUUAAUUUCACUUCAUUAGAAGUGUAUUUAAGUGUACUUCCAUGAAGUGCACUUUAAUGCAAAUACUUUUUAAGCUGUAUUUCAGUGUACUUAGAAAAAGUAUACUAAGUUGCACAUACUUAAAGUGGUACUUUAGUGUACUUCUGAAAAGUACACUUCAUUUCAAGUCCUUUGUAAUACACUAUUAAAAUGCUUUAUCAAAGUAUACUUAAAUUUCCCUUUAUUAGUAGUGUAUUUAAGUAUACUUCCUUACAGUUCACUUUAAUGCAAGUUAAUUUUAAGCUGUAUUUCAGUGCACUUAGAAAAAGUAUACUAAAUUGCAAAAACUUAUAGUUGUCAUUCAGUGUGAUUCUGAAAAGUACACUUAGUAAUACACUAUUAACAUGCUUCAUUUUUAGUAUACUUUAAUUUCACUUCAUUAGAAGUUUAUUUAAGUAUAUUCAUACAUCAUCACAACCAAAGUGUUGAAUUAAUCAAAAAAAUACAGAUAAAUAAUACUGAAAUGGCUACUUUUACUAGCUCCAACGACUAACUAUUAAAGAAAAUCCAAGGCUAUAACCAAAAUUUGAAAAUAGCAAGUUUAUAACGGCCAUCCAAUCAGUGUGCGGCUGCAAAUCGACGUCCAAUGAGAAUGUAGUAUUUAGGUCGCCAAUUGGUGGUUUACUCAAAUACACUUGGCGCGGACGGUUAGUGUUCCAUUUGAAAUUGAGCAGUGAGCACCUAAUAUCUCCGGGUCAAACAAUGACAGUGUUUGGUUUGUUUUAUUUCCAAGACGGCUCCGUUAGAGCAGAUAAUACAUCCGUCAUACGUGAUGCAUACAGAAAUAAAAAAAUAACGGUUAACUGCAGGGAAGACCUCGAGUCGGAGCAGGGCUGGAUAGAGGUAAUUUGGCCUACACAACGGCGACAACAAGAGGCGAAGCCUAUUGCAGCCAAAUUGCUUUUCUUUGGAGACACGGUGAGGGAGAAAUUCCCCAACACCAUGGUUAGUGAGAUCCGGGCCCUGCUGCGGAGGAAAUGCAAUAAUGAGGGCUACACCAAGGUUGCUCCUCAGUAGCUUUAUUAUAUAUGUUAUAUAUGUCAGAUGUUUUAAAGUUAGGUGUUAUUGAAUGUAUGUUUGUAUUAAUAUUUAAAUUAAAGUUUUGGUUUGUACAAUUUAA